rnacentral:rRNA from 1 species
GAUGAACGCUGGCGGCGUGCCUAAUACAUGCAAGUCGAGCGAACAGACGAGGAGCUUGCUCCUCUGACGUUAGCGGCGGACGGGUGAGUAACACGUGGAUAACCUACUUAUAAGACGGGGAUAACUACGGGAAACCGGAGCUAAUACCGGAUAAUAUAUUGAACCGCAUGGAUCAAUAGUGAAAGACGGCUUUGCUGUCUCUUAUAGAUGGAUCCGCGCCGCAUUAGCUAGUUGGUAAGGUAACGGCUUACCAAGGCAACGAUGCGUAGCCGACCUGAGAGGGUGAUCGGCCACACUGGAACUGAGACACGGUCCAGACUCCUACGGGAGGCAGCAGUAGGGAAUCUUCCGCAAUGGGCGAAAGCCUGACGGAGCAACACCGCGUGAGUGAUGAAGGUCUUCGGAUCGUAAAGCUCUUUUAUUAGGGAAGAACAGAUGUGUAAGUAACUAUGCACGUCUUGACGGUACCUAAUCAGAAAGCCACGGCUAACUACGUG